AGUGAACGCUGGCGGUAGGCCUAACACAUGCAAGUCGAACGACAGCACAGUAAGAGCUUGCUCUUACGGGUGGCGAGUGGCGGACGGGUGAGGAAUACAUCGGAAUCUACUUUUUCGUGGGGGAUAACGGAGGGAAACUUACGCUAAUACCGCAUACGACCUACGGGUGAAAGCAGGGGAGCUUCGGACCUUGCGCGAUUGAAUGAGCCGAUGUCGGAUUAGCUAGUUGGCGGGGUAAAGGCACACCAAGGCGACGAUCCGUAGCGGGUCUGAGAGGAUGGUCAGCCACACUGGAACUGAGACACGGUCCAGACUCCUACGGGAGGCAGCAGUGGGGAAUCUUGGACAAUGGGCGCAAGCCUGAUCCAGCCAUGCCGCGUGAGUGAAGAAGGCCUUCGGGUUGUAAAGCCCUUUUGUUGGGAAAGAAAAGCAGCAGAUUAAUCCCCCGCUGUUCUGACGGUACCCAAAGAAUAAGCACCGGCUAACUUCGUG
rnacentral:rRNA from 1 species